rnacentral:sRNA from 1 species
AUCAUCAUCCCUGUGUGACGUAUGUGUAUGAGACACACAUGGACCCCAAAGGGCGUGGGAGUAGCUGCCAUGCGAGGAAGGGUCUCUCUUGUUGCUGCUGCAGUGUGUGCUCCAGGCUAACCGACUUUGUUCUCAUUUUUCCGUCUCCACCUGCAAUAUCACCUCAGUGGUUCUGGGAUCACACACACCCGGCAUCUUAGCCUGUUUUCUAGAAAGCCAUAAGAAUCUUAUUAGCUAACCCUAAACCACCAACCAAAGAGUACACAUGGAGGGACCCAUGGCUCCAGCCGCAUGUGUGGCAGAGGAUACCGUUAUCGUGCAUCAAUGGGAAAGGAGGCCCUUGGUCCUGUGAAGGUUCAAUGCCCCAUUGUAGGAGAAAGAUUGCUCCCUGGUCAGGCCAGAACAAAGAUGGCAGAUUUGCAGCUCAUUGAGAAGAUUAAAUCACAUAACAUCAAAGAUUAUUUAAAGCUGGUACAGUUCAAGGCACUGAAAUGACAGAAGUCACUGGAAGAGUGGAGAGGGUACCAAUGCCUAAGUCAGCAACCUAAGGAAUCAUCUUAAUGUGCCAUGCCUAAGUCAACAACCUAAAGAACUGUCUUAAUGCCCAAAGUCUUCACCAUGACUCUUAUCUGGAUUAAUUCACCUCGUUAUUUUAUAUUCCAAGUUCUUGUCAUGGAGCAAAAGUCUAUUCAUGUAGAGUUCAAUAUCAUAUGUCAUAUCUGUUCUUUCAAAUAGCGAUACUUUGUUGCAUUUGAUCUUUAAAGAUUCCCCAACAUUCAAAUGUGUGCUAAAUGGCACAGAAGAUACAUAAGCACUCUGCUAUGCCACCAUUGAGGGGUGUCCCCAGCCACCAUUCUUCUGGUAUGGAUAUGUUUCUUGAGUUAUUAUUACUAUGAUGUUCUUUCCUUAAGUCUACAUACUUUCAGAUUAUCUUACAGAUCGCUAUGAUAGGUCAUUCUUUUAUAAAGGAGAAUAGUUAAAUUGGUGAUGCUUAUGAAUUCCAGCUUAUAUUUUAAAAUUACCAACAAAGUUGACCUUAGAGCAUGCAUUUUCAUUGGCUCAGGGUUUUCUGUACUGCAGAGGUAGAGGCUUCUCUUGCGGAAAUAGACACCAGUUGUUCAAGGCAUAUCUUGUCUUCAGUCUCACCUCACAUUAAUGUGUGGGGGAAAAGCCUAUCCCUUUACCUCAUAGCUUGUACUUGUACUUUCCUGAGCCUGGAGUUUAGUGGAGCAUACAUUAGACUGAGAAGUUUUGUUACACGAUGGAUUCUUUUAAUCGUCUUUUGCUGAAAAGGAUCAUGUUGUUGCAUACAGGGAACAACUUCAUAUUCACCAUAUCAUUAAACAUGUCUGAAGCGUUACUGUUCCUGACUGCUCCCAACAUGUCCAGUGUGGAAUACCACAGUGCUCCAUCUACUUUCACUUAGGCUGGACACAGCACUUAAAUACAGCCUUUGCUCUGAAGUCGGCAGCCUGAGAACAUCACCCGCGUUGCUUAUGCUGCUCGAUAAUGAAUACAUUUGGAGUGAUUAAGCUGGACUCUCAUUUAUACAUCUUAGCCCGAUAUUUUAAGGAUGAAUUACCAUACCAAGAGAGCUAUGUCUCUCAGUUGGCCCCCGAGUGACUGGUUUGUUGACUUUCCAGCAAUGACCAGCUAACCUUUCUUUUUCUCUUUGUCUUGGCAUGUAAGGUAAUGCUUCUUCACAUCCUUCAGAGGGAGCCUAUGUGCCAGUGCUUUCCUACUGUAAAAGCCCACUUAUAACGCAUAUGUUUCUAUUUAAUUAAGCUCCCCAUGUGACACACGUUUUCCAGGCAGAAUUCACACAAGCAAUGCAUCGCCUCAUAUAUUUCUUAGGUCGACUCAGCUACAUAGAGUUUUAUAUAAACAAAAAAAACCAAACUUCAAAAUUCCAAUAACAUAAAAAAAAACUCUCUCUCUAAAUAUGUUUCCUAUUUAGGAAAGUGUUACCAAGCUUACUCCAGUUUAAUUCCAAAUUUAAUCCUUAACCAGUUCAAAUGCACCCAAACAUAAUGAUCUACUUACCAAUCCAUCACUUGGAGCGUCUGCUAGGACGGGCAGGUGGUCUCUUUCAGAAAUACCAUUAGAUAAUGAUAAUGAUUGUAAUUAGGUGGUAAUGAUCUUGGUCAUUUACAACAUGCAGAGUCAUUUGUAUAAAUGAUUUUUUUUUUACAAGUAUGGCAAGUAGCUGGAAGGAACCAAAAGAUAUUUCAUUCCUAGAUUACAAUUUCUCUAAAUAGACACAAUUAGUUAGGCAUAUGGGUCUGGGAAAGUUUCUUCCUUGUUCCUAUUUAAUAAGGCAAAUUAUAUCAUUAUUUUCAGGGAUAUGAACUGGCAAAGAGUCAUGGCAAAUGUGGUCUCCUGCUUACAUGUUCAGCUCCCAUCAGGCCUCAGAUGUUUUGUGACUGAGUCUUGUUAGGUAGCUAAGCUAGGUCUAGAACCUGUGGCCACUCCACCUCUGCAUCCUGAGUCCUGGGAUCACAUCCUCAACCACCAAACAGGUAAAACAAACUAGAAGUGGCUGGAGUUUUUUAAUCUCAAAGCCCACCCCCUAGUGCUGAAUUUCCUCUACCAUGGACCCUUUCACCUAAACCUCCCCAAACAACAUUACCAACUUGGGAACAAGUGUCAAAUGCCAGAUUGUGGGAGCCAUUUCCUAUUCAAACCAGCUCAAUAGCAUCCCCCAACCCCCAGAUUUAGCACGGAAGUCCUGCUUCUACCUCUGCUUGUAAGGUCAGUCUGAGAUGGAGCCCUGUGUUGUUCUUCCAUGGUUCCCCUUCUCUUAUUAAAGAAACUGUGGAUGAUUUACCAUUUUUCUGACGUGAUCAACUCCAAUCUCCAACACUACCAGAGAUAAAACUAUCUUAGUUAGGGUGCUGU